CAGUAGCCGCGGUAAUACGGAGGGGGCUAGCGUUGUUCGGAAUUACUGGGCGUAAAGCGCACGUAGGCGGCUUGGUAAGUUAGAGGUGAAAGCCCGGGGCUCAACCCCGGAAUUGCCUUUAAGACUGCCGAGCUAGCAGGUGAGAGAGGUGAGUGGAAUUCCGAGUGUAGAGGUGAAAUUCGUAGAUAUUCGGAAGAACACCAGUGGCGAAGGCGGCUCACUGGCUCAUACUGGACGCUGAGGUGCGAAAGCGUGGGGAGCAAACAGGAUUAGAUACCCCUGUAGUCCCUGUCUCUUAUAC
rnacentral:rRNA from 1 species